GACGAACGCUGGCGGCGUGCUUAACACAUGCAAGUCGAACGCUGAUGGCCCAGCUUGCUGGGUUGGAUGAGUGGCGAACGGGUGAGUAACACGUGAGUAACCUGCCCUCUUCUUUGGGAUAACGGUCGGAAACGGCUGCUAAUACCGGGUAUUCACUGUCCUUCGCAUGGGGGGUGGUGGAAAGGUUUUUUUCUGGUGGGGGAUGGGCUCGCGGCCUAUCAGCUUGUUGGUGGGGUGAUGGCUUACCAAGGCUUUGACGGGUAACCGGCCUGAGAGGGUGACCGGUCACAUUGGGACUGAGAUACGGCCCAGACUCCUACGGGAGGCAGCAGUGGGGAAUAUUGCACAAUGGGCGAAAGCCUGAUGCAGCGACGCCGCGUGAGGGAUGGAGGCCUUCGGGUUGUAAACCUCUUUCGCUCAUGGUCAAGCCGCAACUGUGGUUGUGGUGAGGGUAGUGGGUAAAGAAGCA
rnacentral:rRNA from 1 species